rnacentral:rRNA from 1 species
UACGUAGGGUGCAAGCGUUAAUCGGAAUUACUGGGCGUAAAGCGUGCGCAGGCGGUUUUGUAAGUCUGUCGUGAAAUCCCCGGGCUCAACCUGGGAAUUGCGAUGGAGACUGCAAGGCUAGAAUCUGGCAGAGGGGGGUAGAAUUCCACGUGUAGCAGUGAAAUGCGUAGAGAUGUGGAGGAACACCGAUGGCGAAGGCAGCCCCCUGGGUCAAGAUUGACGCUCAUGCACGA